UUGGCGCCCUGGUUCCCCCUUCUCGCCUGGGGGCCCCACGGGGCCCGGUGGUCCGGGCUCUCCCGGGGGCCCACGCGGGCCUGCCUUCCCCGGCCUGCCCGCUUCGCCUUUGGGACCCUGGAUGAAAGUGGGCAGAGACUGCAUGAGGCCCCGGUCCGGGGUGGCGGCGGUGCUGGGAGCCUUGGUGCCCCCGUAGGGGUCGCAGACCAUGCGGCAGGUGCCCAGCAUCUCGUAGUGCGCCGACGUGCCGGCCGAGCUCACCAGCACCGGGAUGAGGAUGACCAGCAGAAGCACCAUCACCACCCCCAGCGCCCCGGCGGCGAUCAGGCGCCUCCUGCUGCCCACGAGCCGGCUCAGCGCGGGCCGAUCCUCUUGUCUGCUUUUGGACAAAAUUUUGAAGGUUGGGCGGGGACCUCCUCAGAGCCGAAAACAAUCCCCCUUCGAACCCCAACUCCCCUGGGCGGGCGCGCGCCGGUCGCUCUUCACCGGCUCCUGCUCCCCCCGCUGAGGCUGCGGCUAGGGAGGGAGCUGGGGCGCCAAGUGACUUGAGCUGAAGUCCCGAGCUGGGGGGUGGGGGCUGGGGGGAGGGGUGCUCAGGGCGCCCUCUCGCCUCCUGCUAGCCCCUUCGCACCUGUGGCUGCGGCGGGUGCCGGAGCGGCCACCCGGAGGGCAGAGCCAGCGGCCGCCUGCUGCGCUCGCCCGGAGCUGCUCACACUUUUAUGCCGCUGCUGCUGGCGAUCGACUUUUCCUUUUUUGCAGACUGCGCCAGUUCUCACCAACUUUCCGUCUGAAGUUGCCUUUUUUUCCCCCUGCUUCUUGUUUCUUUUCUUUGCAGACUAGGUUCGUCUGUCCUUGCCUUUUUUUUUUCUUUCUUUCUUUCUUUCUUUUUUUUUUUCUUUUGCAGCCACCACAACUCUAAUAGAAGCGCACCCCCAAAGCCCUAGAGGGCUGCAGAAGCUCGGGUCGGGCAGCCCCCGAGAUGCGCGGAGCAGCGGCGAUUCGCAGUAUCCGCGGCUCAGAGAAGCUCAGGGACGGAGAUAGGUGCUAGACAGCAGCAGCGAAAGCCUCACUGCCGAAAGCUGAACGAGAGAGGCUGAACGCAGAAUUCUGCCUGGG
rnacentral:lncRNA from 1 species